GCGACUUAACUGAACCUUCGGGGAACGUUAAGGGGGCGAGCGGCGGACGGGUGAGUAAUGCCUGGGAAUAUGCCCUGAUGUGGGGGAUAACUAUUGGAAACGAUAGCUAAUACCGCAUAAUCUCUUCGGAGCAAAGAGGGGGACCUUCGGGCCUCUCGCGUCAGGAUUAGCCCAGGUGGGAUUAGCUUGUUGGUGAGGUAAUGGCUCACCAAGGCAACGAUCCCUAGCUGGUCUGAGAGGAUGAUCAGCCACACUGGAACUGAGACACGGUCCAGACUCCUACGGGAGGCAGCAGUGGGGAAUAUUGCACAAUGGGGGAAACCCUGAUGCAGCCAUGCCGCGUGUGUGAAGAAGGCCUUCGGGUUGUAAAGCACUUUCAGUAGGGAGGAAGGUAGUGUAGUUAACACCUGCACUAUUUGACGUUACCUACAGAAGAAGCACCGGCUAACUCCGUGCCAGCAGCCGCGGUAAUACGGAGGGUGCGAGCGUUAAUCGGAAUUACUGGGCGUAAAGCGCAUGCAGGCGGCCUGUUAAGUCAGAUGUGAAAGCCCGGGGCUUAACCUCGGGACUGCAUUUGAAACUGGCAGGCUAGAGUCUUGUAGAGGGGGGUAGAAUUUCAGGUGUAGCGGUGAAAUGCGUAGAGAUCUGAAGGAAUACCAGUGGCGAAGGCGGCCCCCUGGACAAAGACUGACGCUCAGAUGCGAAAGCGUGGGGAGCAAACAGGA
rnacentral:rRNA from 1 species